rnacentral:sRNA from 1 species
GUAGGUGAACCUGCGGAAGGAUCAUUACCGAGUGUAGGGUUCCUAGCGAGCCCAACCUCCCACCCGUGUUUACUGUACCUUAGUUGCUUCGGCGGGCCCGCCAUUCAUGGCCGCCGGGGGCUCUCAGCCCCGGGCCCGCGCCCGCCGGAGACACCACGAACUCUGUCUGAUCUAGUGAAGUCUGAGUUGAUUGUAUCGCAAUCAGUUAAAACUUUCAACAAUGGAUCUCUUGGUUCCGGCAUCGAUGAAGAACGCAGCGAAAUGCGAUAACUAGUGUGAAUUGCAGAAUUCCGUGAAUCAUCGAGUCUUUGAACGCACAUUGCGCCCCCUGGUAUUCCGGGGGGCAUGCCUGUCCGAGCGUCAUUGCUGCCCAUCAAGCACGGCUUGUGUGUUGGGUCGUCGUCCCCUCUCCGGGGGGGACGGGCCCCAAAGGCAGCGGCGGCACCGCGUCCGAUCCUCGAGCGUAUGGGGCUUUGUCACCCGCUCUGUAGGCCCGGCCGGCGCUUGCCGAACGCAAAUCAAUCUUUUUCCAGGUUGACCUCGGAUCAGGUAGGGAUACACGCUGAACUUAAGCAUAUCC